rnacentral:rRNA from 1 species
AUUGAACGCUGGCGGCAUGCCUUACACAUGCAAGUCGAACGGCAGCACGGGUGCUUGCCCCUGGUGGCGAGUGGCGAACGGGUGAGUAAUACAUCGGAACAUGUCCUGUAGUGGGGGAUAGCCCGGCGAAAGCCGGAUUAAUACCGCAUACGAUCUACGGAUGAAAGCGGGGGACCUUCGGGCCUCGCGCUAUCGGGUUGGCCGAUGGCUGAUUAGCUAGUUGGUGGGGUAAAGGCCUACCAAGGCGACGAUCAGUAGCUGGUCUGAGAGGACGACCAGCCACACUGGGACUGAGACACGGCCCAGACUCCUACGGGAGGCAGCAGUGGGGAAUUUUGGACAAUGGGCGAAAGCCUGAUCCAGCAAUGCCGCGUGUGUGAAGAAGGCCUUCGGGUUGUAAAGCGCUUUUGUCCGGAAAGAAAUCCUUGGCCCUAAUACGGUCGGGGGAUGACGGUACCGGAAGAAUAAGCACCGGCUAACUACGUG